AUGCUCUGUGUUGUGGUAGCCGCGCUGCUGCUCCUGCCGGCGCCGCCGUCGGCCGGCGCCGAGGCGGAAGCAGCUACGGGCCGGAGGAGUAACUGCACCACCCACUGCGGCAACAUCAGCAUCCCGUAUCCGUUCGGGGUGGAGCCUGGCUGCUACCACGAGAGCGGCUUCAACCUCACCUGCAACCAGUCCUACAGCCCGCCCCAGCUCUUCCUCGGCGACGGCACCGUUCAGGUGCUCGACAUCGAUCUGCCCAACGGCACGGUACGUAUCAACAGCAAGCCAUUGGAAAUCCUCUAUGGCGACAAUGGAAAAGUAAGCCGCCGCACAUGGCGCGCCGGCGGCCUGGGAUACGCUGCCGACGGGCCAUACUUUGUAGCGGGAGCAGGGCGGAACAACUUAGUAGCACUCGGGUGCAACGUCCAAGCCAUCCUCCUGGGAGAGGACAACACCCUUGUCAGCUCUUGCUCUCCUUUCUGCCCGACCACAGGUGGUUACAUGGAUACAGAUACCUGCUCCGGCAUCGGCUGCUGCCAGGCAACCAUACUGGAGGGUCGCGCUUCCUACGGACUCCAGGUUCAACGGGUUGGUUUCGUUUAUUAUAGAUCCUGGGUCAAUGUGUUAAUUGUGGAAUCGGACUAUUUGCUUAACUCGACGGAGUAUUAUUAUAAUAACGCGGACACAGCCCCCGCGAUGCUGACCUGGGCGAUCAACAGCUCGAUAUGUCAUACCAAUGGGUUGUCACCUGCCUGCCGCAGUAAUCACAGCUUCUGUCUUAACUACAUCAAAGAUUUUGAUCAAGAUUUUCUUUAUGGUUAUGAGGAUGGUGAUCCUGUUGAUCAACGGCAUAACUGCAGGUGUGCUGGUGGUUACCAAGGCAAUCCAUACAUCUCCCAUGGCUGCUAUGAUGUUAUGGAAUCUGCAUGGUGCCUAUGGAGAUCCAUUGAUGAAAUUGGGAUGUGUCAGCGUCAGAACAAAAAGGCCAUUUACAGAUGAAGUUAAAUAGGGCAAACAAACUGAAAAGAAAAUUGUUCAAGCAAAAUCAUGGGUUGCUGUUGCAACAACUAAUAUCCCAGAAAACAGAUUUUGGUGAAAGGAUGAUCAUUCCUUUGUUGGAUCUAGAGAAGGCCACAAACAAUUUUGAUAGAACUCGUGAGGCCGGUGGUGGAGGCCACGGUGUUGUGUAUAAAGGAAUUUUAGACCUACAGGUUGUCGCCAUCAAGAAGUCCAAGAUCGUUGUACAGAGAGAAAUCGAUGACUUCAUAAACGAGGUUGCAAUUCUUUCUCAAAUCAACCAUAGAAAUGUCGUGAAGCUAAUCGGGUGUUGUCUUGAGACAGAAGUCCCAUUACUGGUUUAUGAGUUUAUUUCGAAUGGUACUCUUGAUCAGCAUCUUCAUGUUGAAGGCCCAAUAUCAAUGUCAUGGGAUGAUCGAAUAAGGAUCGCGCUUGAGGUUUCUAGAGCUCUAUCUUAUCUUCAUUCAGCUGCAUCGAUGCCUAUUUAUCACCGGGAUAUUAAAUCAUCCAACAUACUUCUUGAUGGUAAUUUAACAGCAAAGGUAUCCGAUUUUGGAGCUUCAAGAUACACCCCAAUCGAUAAAACAGGGGUGACUACUGCUGUGCAAGGAACAAUAGGCUACUUAGACCCCAUGUACUAUUAUACGGGUCGCCUAACAGACAAGAGUGAUGUUUUCAGUUUUGGUGUUCUUCUUGUAGAACUCCUAGCUAGAAAAAAACCAUGCCUUUACCGUAGUGGCGGUGACGGUGUUGGUCUUGUUUCACAUUUUGUUUCGCUACUCACAGAUGGAAAUCUUGAUGAGUUAAUUGAUCCCCAAGUCAUGGAAGAGGGGGAUGGAGAUGUCCAGGAAGUAGCUAUGCUAGCAGCGAUGUGCAUUAAAUUGAAAGGAGAAGACCGGCCUACAAUGAGAGAAGUGGAGAUGAAACUUGAAAAUAUGAGAGUUAACAUGUGUGUGGCGCCUGAUACUGCUGCAUCAAGGAGAUAUGGCAGGGGUCAAACUGAGUCUCUAUACAUGCCAAUAGAAGCAGUUGUUGUGGAAGCAAGCAGGCAAUACACUAUGGAGGAAGAAAUAUUGGCUUCUGCAAGUUAUCCUCGAUGA
rnacentral:rRNA from 1 species